rnacentral:lncRNA from 1 species
CCACAUUAAGAGGAUGGGAGGUCUCUUACACAAUCUUACACAACAUGCAUUAAAAGCCACAUUAUGUAAGAAAAAUUAAAAUUUUGCUUGUCACUUGGUUUUUGCCAUUAAAACUUAGGUGAGAUGGGUGAUGGAAAUCCUCCUAGUCAAGUCUAGGGUUUUAAAAGGUUUUAAUAUGGUUAUGGAUGGUAAGAACAUCACCUAAAACCAUGAAACCAUGCAUGAAAACCAACUAAAAACAUUUUCACCCAAAACCAAACUAUGAACACCAAGAACAAAACCAUGAACACAAUUUCAAGAUUUGUACAUUCUUGGUGAUUUUUCAAACCCAAAAACAAAAGUGACAAGGUUUCUACUUUCUAGCUUUAAAAUGAUGUGUGAGUGUCUUACAAUA